CAGGAAAACAAUUUUGCUCCAAGCUGAAAGCUACUGAAUUCCAGAAAACAAUGAAGACUGGACAAACCAUAUGGACCAUACUGCCCUAAAUCUGAAAGCUGACGAUAUCUAAGAAUUGGCUUGUGCAGUCAGAACUAAAUAACCCAGGAACCUGGACUGAGAACUGAGAGACACCCCAGAUGAAUGCGCCGUCUCAGCCGCAGACUCACCUUGCUGGCAGAGCAGCCAGCAGAGGGAACCUUUUUAAAGUGCCUCAACCUCUGACAAGGACUCAUGGACACCAUAUCUGGCUUUCUGGUCUCUGUCGGUGUGUUCAUGGGUAGUGGCUGGCUUCAGAACACCAAGACCAAGAAUUUCUUCAAAACUCACUGGG